rnacentral:tRNA from 1 species
CCCUAGUUAGCUCAGUUUGUUAGAGCGCUCCACCUGUAAUGGAGAGGUCCCGGGUUCAAUACCGGAUCAGGCG